rnacentral:tRNA from 1 species
GGUGGCUCAGUGGUAGAGUACUUGCCUCGUAUGCAUGAGACCCUGGGUUCGAUUCCUCAGCACCA